AGCGGCGAACGGGUGAGUAACGCUUCGGAAUCUGCCCAAUGGUGGGGAAUAACCAGCCGAAAGGUUGGCUAAUACCGCAUGAGCCCUACGGGGGAAAGCGGGGGAUCGUAAGACCUCGCGCCGAUGGAUGAGCCGAAGCCGGAUUAGCUAGUUGGUAGGGUAACGGCCUACCAAGGCGACGAUCCGUAGCUGGUCUGAGAGGACGACCAGCCACACUGGGACUGAGACACGGCCCAGACUCCUACGGGAGGCAGCAGUGGGGAAUAUUGGACAAUGGGGGAAACCCUGAUCCAGCGACGCCGCGUGUGUGAAGAAGGCCUGCGGGUUGUAAAGCACUUUUAGUGGGGAUGAAAAGCUCAGGGCUAACACCUCUGGGUCUUGACCUAACCCAAAGAAAAAGCACCGACUAACUCUGUGCCAGCAGCCGCGGUAAUACAGAGGGUGCAAGCGUUAAUCGGAAUUACUGGGCGUAAAGCGAACGUAGACGGUUGGAUAAGUCUGAUGUGAAAGCCCCGGGCUCAACCUGGGAAUGGCAUUUAA
rnacentral:rRNA from 1 species